GCGCCCGUAGCUCAGCUGGAUAGAGCGCCGGGCUUCGAACCCGUAGGCCGCAGGUUCGAGUCCUGCCGGGCGCGCCA
rnacentral:tRNA from 3 species